GAGCUAAGGAACCCAAGAAAGAGCUUCUAACUCAUUCUUAAGCGAAUAAUCCCGUUUUUAGCUCU
rnacentral:tRNA from 1 species